rnacentral:lncRNA from 1 species
CUUGAAUUUUAAGAGUCAAUAUAUAGGAUGAACGGAUCAUAUAAACCGGAGGGAAAAUAUGAUACAUGCCCAAACAAAAAAUAUAAACGAGUCUAAAUUGAAAACUACGUUCAAACCUAUGACUGCGUUGGAUAAAAACCGCAGUUUUUAUACGUGUGCAUGUCAAACAAAUUUCGUUGUAGAAGGGUCUAAAAACAGCAC